rnacentral:lncRNA from 1 species
CGCUCCGGCUUCACCUGCAACGUGUCGAUUGCACGGAUGGUCGCGGCGCGUGGCUCCGGCCCCGGGCCCGCCGCCCAGCCUCUGCUAGGUGAGGGGUUCACCCCCUCCAAAAGACCAAAGCCAGCCCUGCCCCCGCCCCCCAAGCCUUAAGAACAAAAAGCCACGUCCAAAUUAGCAAGCGCCGUGUUCCGCUGGAUUAGAGCUUUACCCAACACCUGGCUGGUUAACGGCUUCACUGCUCCGACUCUAUCUGCUCGACACCCCCAAACCCCCAAAUCGAGAGGAGACUCCACGGCGAGGAUUUACGCACCGGCUCGGAGCGCCUCCGCCGGGGCAGAGUCUCCGGGGAGCGGUGGCCGGUGGCGGGGGGAUUGAGGGUUUUCUUCCUCUGCAAAGCAGGAUUAAUGACCCGUCUUCCCGUCUCGGAGGUUUUGAAGUUCACGGCUCUUCUUUGCAAAGCAAAAGGAAAAUGCAUUCGGACGCCAGCACUUCUGGGUUGCGGUGAUCGAGAAUCACCCAGAGAGCACUUUCGAUAGAGCGGAGCCCCGAGAUUUCCUAGAGCCUCCUUCGUCCGCGCAUUCUGUGUGCCGGGUUCUUGCCUUCAAGGAGCUUCAGAUCUAUUUUGAGCGUUCCAGGUUGACCAGUACACAAUAGAAAAUAAGGCAAGGUAAAAGUAAUUAAAGGCUAAGUGGUACAGAAGACGCUGUAUGUGUGCUUUUCUGACUCGUAGUGAUGCUUAGAGGAGUUUGGAUUUUUUUAAAGGUGGAUCUUGUUAUUUAAAGAUUUUGACAAGAUAAGGAAACAACUGAACAUCCCCCAUAAGAAACUAGAUUUCAUAGCAUUCGCAAAGCCACCCUGUAAAGGGCAAACAUGCAUUCAUUUCUUUCCUUUUACCGUUUUAUGUUGUAAUAGCGCCUAUCAUCGCCUGCAGGGUUAUUUAUUUUUAAUACUAGCACUGUCAUAUGUACAUCAUUUUUAUUCACAUCGAGUUUCUUCUCAACGACCCAGAAGACGAAAAUAAUGGAGCAUUUUUAUAUUGGUUAUAAUAUGGGCUUCUCAGUCUUGAGAAGUAGCCACACAAACACUGAAAACGAU